rnacentral:rRNA from 1 species
AGAGUUUGAUCCUGGCUCAGAACGAACGCUGGCGGCAGGCUUAAUACAUGCAAGUCGAGCGAUUAAAGCUCCUUCGGGAGUGUAUAGAGCGGCGAACGGGUGAGUAACAGGUGGAUAAUCUGCCUUCUGGUGGGGGAUAACGGCUGGAAACGGCCGCUAAUACCGCAUGUCAUUGCCGGUCCCCGGACUGGUAAGAAAAGGCGCUUCAAGGCGUCGCCAGAAGAUGAGUCCGCCCCCCAUUAGCUAGUUGGUGGGAUAAUAGCCCACCAAGGCAUCGAUGGGUAGCCGAGCUGAGAGGUUGAUCGGCCACACUGGAACUGAGACACGGUCCAGACACCUACGGGUGGCAGCAGUAAGGAAGAUUGGUCAUGGGCGAAGCCUGACCAGCCAUGCCGCGUGAGUGAUGACGGCCUUCGGGUUGUAAAGCUCUUUUCUGAGGGAAGAACAUCCAGAGGAGGAAAUGCCUCUGGCUUGACGGUACCUUAGGAAUAAGGAACGGCUAACUCCGUGCCAGCAGCCGCGGUAAUACGGAGGUUCCAAGCGUUGUUCGGAUUUACUGGGCGUAAAGGGAGCGCAGGCGGAAGGGUCAGUCUGAAGUGGAAUCCCGGGGCUCAACCUCGGACGUGCUUUGGAUACUACCCUUCUUGAGUCCGUGAGAGGAAAGCGGAAUUCAGGGUGUAGCGGUGAAAUGCUUAGAUAUCCUGAGGAACACCAAUGGCGAAAGCAGCUUUCUGGCACGUGACUGACGCUGAGGCUCGAAAGCGUGGGGAGCGAACGGGAUUAGAUACCCCGGUAGUCCACGCCGUAAACGUUGUGCACUAGGUGUGGGAGGUAUCGACCCCUUCUGUGCCGUAGCUAACGCAUUAAGUGCACCGCCUGGGGAGUACGCUCGCAAGAGUGAACGCAAAGGAACUGACGGGGCCCGCACAGCGG